AGCGAACGCUGGCGGCGUGCUUAACACAUGCAAGUCGAGUGCGUAGUUCCCUGUAGCAAUACAGGGAAUGGGCGCACGGCGCACGGGUGCGUAACACGUGGGCAACCUGCCCUCGAGUGGGGAAUAACCCCGCGAAAGCGGGGCUAAUACCGCAUAACAUUCCGGGAACCUCGGUUUCCGGACUCAAAGUCUUCGGACGCUUGAGGAGGGGCCCGCGCCCGAUUAGCUUGUUGGUAGGGUAACGGCCUACCAAGGCGAUGAUCGGUAGCCGGUCUGAGAGGAUGGCCGGCCACACUGGAACUGAGACACGGUCCAGACUCCUACGGGAGGCAGCAGUGGGGAAUCUUGCGCAAUGGGCGAAAGCCUGACGCAGCGACGCCGCGUGGGGA
rnacentral:rRNA from 1 species